rnacentral:rRNA from 1 species
CGCUAGCUCCUGGCUUAACACAUGCAAGUCGAGGGGAAACGAUAUUGGAAGCUUGCUUCCGAUAGGCGUCGACCGGCGCACGGGUGAGUAACGCGUAUCCAACCUGCCCACCACUUGGGGAUAACCUUGCGAAAGUAAGACUAAUACCCAAUGACGUCUCUAAAAGACAUCUGAAAGAGAUUAAAGAUUUAUCGGUGAUGGAUGGGGAUGCGUCCGAUUAGCUUGUUGGCGGGGUAACGGCCCACCAAGGCAACGAUCGGUAGGGGUUCUGAGAGGAAGGUCCCCCACAUUGGAACUGAGACACGGUCCAAACUCCUACGGGAGGCAGCAGUGAGGAAUAUUGGUCAAUGGACGAGAGUCUGAACCAGCCAAGUAGCGUGCAGGAAGACGGCCCUAUGGGUUGUAAACUGCUUUUAUAAGGGAAUAAAGUGAGAGUCGUGACUCUUUUUGCAUGUACCUUAUGAAUAAAGACCGGCUAAUUCCGUGCCAGCAGCCGCGGUAAUACGGAAGGUCCGGGCGUUAUCCGGAUUUAUUGGGUUUAAAGGGAGCGUAGGCCGGAGAUUAAGCGUGUUGUGAAAUGUAGACGCUCAACGUCUGCACUG